AAGUCGUAACAAGGUAACCGUAGGUGAACCUGCGGUUGGAUCAUUACUGAUUAAACUGACCUAGAGUGAGCUCUUUUAGAGAUCCUCUAGUGUCAAUAACACUUUGUGCACCUUUAUGUAUUUUGGGUCAUUGUCUUUUUUGACUUUGGCCCAGCAGUAUUAACAAACAUUUAUACUUUUGACUGAAAUCUCUAUGAAAAUAGAAACAACUUUUGACAACGGAUCUCUUGGCUCUC
rnacentral:misc_RNA from 1 species